AUGAUAAUAAAGGUGGCGCUGUAUUCUAGUCAGAGCGUUCCGAUCUCGAAGAAGGGCCUAAAAAUCCUUUUAAGGGCAUAUCGAUGAAGUCCCUGGUGCCUGCUUUUUUCGCCCAGAUCAGGGUGGGUGCUGGGGGUUAAGGUUCCCGGGCGAGGUGUAAUGGCAUAUACCAACCGACCCGGCUACCGUGGAGACCUGUUCUUGUGCGACAGCCGUACAGUUCCUGUGGAUACCCGGACUGCGUACGAAACAGGAUAGAACCUGCAUUGCGGUGCACAGAAUCGUGUGCUGUGUGCAGUGUAGCCUGCCUUGCGUGAGUAUGCCGGGAUGGGGGAGUGAGGCGUUUGCAUCCGUGGCCGCGGAUGCGGGCGAUAUUGCCCCUUGAAAUCAUACUUGCAAAAGAGGAUAGAAUCGGAACGCAAUGCCGUGGAAAUCACCUAGGCAGACCUUUUUGGGGCAGAUAUUGGAUUGCAGUGCGGACUAAGUGGCAAUCGGGUACCGGCAAUGGCAACAUACCGGCUAGGCUUCAAACGGAAACGGCCGGACGGCGACGAACGGUAGCCAAAGGGGAAAUCCAACCCGACCUAAGCCGUAAGAUUUACUUUAUCUGCCGCCACCAUUUUUCAA
rnacentral:sRNA from 1 species